rnacentral:rRNA from 1 species
CACGUAGGGUGCGAGCGUUGUCCGGAAUCACUGGGCGUAAAGGGCGUGUAGGCGGUUCGGUAAGUGGGAUGUGAAAUCCCCGGGCUCACCCCGGGACCUGCAUCCCAAACUGCUGAGCUUGAGUACAGGAGAGGGUGGGGGAAUUCCAGGUGUAGCGGUGAAAUGCGUAGAUAUCUGGAGGAACACCGGUGGCGAAGGCGACAUCCUGGACCGGUAUUGACGCUGAGGCGCGAAAGCCAGGGGAGCAAACGGG